GCCAUUUUCGUUUAAGGGUAGGACGCUGGAUUGUGGAUCCGGUAGUGGCCGUUCGAGUCGGCCAGGUGGUGCCG
rnacentral:tRNA from 1 species